rnacentral:rRNA from 1 species
GACGAACGCUGGCGGCGUGCUUAACACAUGCAAGUCGAACGGAAAGGCCCUGCUUUUGUGGGGUGCUCGAGUGGCGAACGGGUGAGUAACACGUGAGUAACCUGCCCUUGACUUUGGGAUAACUUCAGGAAACUGGGGCUAAUACCGGAUAGGAGCUCCUGCUGCAUGGUGGGGGUUGGAAAGUUUCGGCGGUUGGGGAUGGACUCGCGGCUUAUCAGCUUGUUGGUGGGGUAGUGGCUUACCAAGGCUUUGACGGGUAGCCGGCCUGAGAGGGUGACCGGGGAGAAAGGGACUGAGAGCCGGGCCAGAACGCGACGGGAGGCAGCAGGGGGGAAUAGAGGACGAGGGGCGAAAGCAUGAGCCAGCAAUGAAGGGGGAGGGAGGAAGGGGGGAGGGUUGGAAAGCCAUUGUAAACGGGAUGAUAACGACAGUACCGGGAGAAUAAGCGACGGCUAACUCCGUG